CAGUCGCCGCGGGAAUACGAACCGUGCGAACGUUAUUCGGAAUCACUGGGCUUAAAGCGCGUGUAGGCGGGUCGUCACGUCGGCUGCUGAAAUCCCCCGGCUCAACCGGGGAACUGGCACCGAUACGAGCGGCCUUGAGGGGGGUAGGGGGAUCUGGAACUUCCGGUGGAGCGGUGAAAUGCGUUGAGAUCGGAAGGAACGCCCGUGGCGAAAGCGAGGUCCUGGACCCUUUCUGACGCUGAGACGCGAAAGCCAGGGGAGCGAACGGGAUUAGAUACCCGCGUAGUCCCUGUCUCUUAUA
rnacentral:rRNA from 1 species